rnacentral:rRNA from 1 species
GGAGGAAAAGAAAAUAACAAUGAUUUCCCUAGUAACGGCGAGUGAAGAGGAAAGAGCUCAAAGUUGGAAUCCGGCUGCCCUAGGUAGUUGGAGUUGUAAACUGGAGAAGUGUUUUCCAGGCGAGCCAAGCGAAUAAGUCCUUUGGAACGGGGCAUCAUAGAGGGUGAGAAUCCCGUCUUUGGCUUGAGCUAUUCGUCUAUUGCGAUACACUUUCAAAGAGUCAGGUUGUUUGGGAAUGCAGCCUAAAUUGGGUGGUAAAUCUCACCUAAAGCUAAAUAUUGGCGAGAGACCGAUAGCGAACAAGUACCGUGAGGGAAAGAUGAAAAGAACUUUGAAAAGAGAGUUAAACAGUAUGUGAAAUUGUUGAAAGGGAACCGUUUGGAGCCAGACCGGCCGUUCUAUAAUCAAUCUCUGCCUCGGUGGGGAUGCACUUGUAGGGCGUUGGCCUGCCAACAGCAAUUUUGCCUGAUGGAAAAAACUAGAAGGAAUGUGGCCCCUCGGGGUGUUAUAGCCUUCUGGAAAAUACAUCGGGCGGGAUUGAGGACUGCAGUAAAUGCUCUUUAGGGCGAAAUACCUGGGCGCUUGUGUUGAUGACGUGUAGAAUCUCUGCUUCGGGUGGUGCUACGCUCUGAUGUGCAACUCGCUUAGACUAUUUUCUAUUUUUUUUUACUUAGGUUGUUGGCUUAAUGACUCUAAAUGACCCGUCUUGAAACACGGACCAAGGAGUCCAUCAUAGGUGCGAGUCUUUGGGUGACAAACCCGCAGGCGCAAGGAAACUGAUGGGUACGAAGGCCUCACGGCUGGCAGUACCGUCCGGCAACGACGUUUUAACAGACUUGACCGCGAUAAAGCACUUAUGCUGGGACCCGAAAGAUGGUGAACUAUGCCUGAAUAGGGUGAAGCCAGAGGAAACUCUGGUGGAGGCUCGUAGCGAUUCUGACGUGCAAAUCGAUCGUCAAAUUUGGGUAUAGGGGCGAAAGACUAAUCGAACCAUCUAGUAGCUGGUUCCUGCGA